rnacentral:tRNA from 1 species
GGGAGAAUUCCCGAGUGGCCAAAGGGGGCAGACUGUAAAUCUGUUGUCUGACGACUUCGGUGGUUCAAAUCCACCUUCUCCCACCA